rnacentral:misc_RNA from 1 species
GAUGAAGAACGUAGCGAAAUGCGAUACUUGGUGUGAAUUGCAGAAUCCCGUGAACCAUCGAGUCUUUGAACGCAAGUUGCGCCUCAAGCCAUUAGGUUGAGGGCACGUCUGCCUGGGCGUCACAUAUCGUUGCCUGAUGCCAGUUUCCUCGUGAUGGGUGACUGUGCAGGGCGAAUGAUGGCUUCCCGUGAGCAUUGUUGCCUCAUGGUUGGUUGAAAAUUGAGUCCUUGGUAGGGAGCGCCGUGAUAGAUGGUGGUUGAGUGACGAACGAGACCCAAUCAUGUGAGACCCCUACCGAAUUUGGCCUUCAAGACCCACAUGCGUCUUUGGAACGCUCAUGACGAGACCUCAGGUCAGGCGGGGCUACCCGCUGAGUUUAAGCAUAUCAAUAAGCGGAGGA